rnacentral:rRNA from 1 species
AUGGGAUACUGGUUCUUCGGCGGCCACGGCGGCUUCUAUAUACCCUCCUAUGACGGGAGCCAGCCUCGACCCGCUGGCCCUCACCGGCCGUUGCUGUACGAUGAGCAGAUCCGCCGGAUGGAAGAAGGCGUACGGCCACCGGCCAACCCCACAGCCUGGAAAUACUUCAAGAUCUUCACUAGGUGUUUCAUGGCCGCGAUGAGCAUCGCGAUGAUGGCCUCGAUAUUCGUGGCGCGAUAUUUCGGUUCGGAACCUCAGGUGCAGGAUCCCUAUAUUAUGAUGGGACUUAUCGUCUUUGCUCUCAUACCAGUGGGAUUCGGCUUCAUAAUAACAGGAGAUAUAGAGACCCAGGACACGCGUGCUCAAGGGGAGGCACUGUCAAGCCGGAGCCAUGGAUUUGAGGAUCUUCGUGCCGAUAUGGCUAGGAUUUGUGCAUUUCUCGAGAUACGCUAA